rnacentral:hammerhead_ribozyme from 1 species
AUCCAGUUGACGAGUCCAAAAUUGGAGGAAACACUCGUCAAACUAGAU